GGCGGAGGCUGCAGAGAGCUGAGAUUGUGCCACUGUGCUCCAGCCUGGGCAACAGAAUGAGACUCCGUCUCAAAAAAAAAAAUUUAAAUUAUAUAUAUUUUUUAAGAUACAGGAGUUUCACUAUGUUUCCCAGGCUGAAUUUGAGCUCCUGGGCUCAAGGAAUCCUCCCAUCUCAGCAUCCUGAGGUGUGAUAACUGUUGAAGCUGCUUGAUGGGUAAACAGGUGUAUUAGUCCAGUCUCACACUGCUAUGAAGAAAUAUCCGAGACUGGGUAAUUUAUAAAGAAAGGUUUAAUUGACUCAGUUCUGCAUGACUGGGUAAGGCCUCAGGAAACUUACGAUCAUGAUGGAAGGCAUCUCUUCACAGGGCUGCAGGAGAGCGAAUGAGUGCAGAGUGAAGAGUGGAAAAGCCCCUUACAAAACCAUCAGAUCUCUUGAGAACUCACUCACUAUCACAAGAACAGCAUGGGGGUAACUGCACCCAUGAUUCAAUUACCUCCCACCAGGUCCCUCCCACAACACAAGGGGAUUAUGGGAACUACAAUUCAAGAUGAGAUUUGGGUGGGGACACAGCCAAACCAUAUCAACAGGUUCAUUCAUUAUACUAUUAUUUUAAAACUUUUUGUAUAUAAACCAAAACAGCCAGGGGUGAGAACCUCAGAGCCAGCCACUUAGAAGGACAAGUGCCACCUCGGCAACUCUGCGGGCAGAACCAGCUUGGAGGAGAACAGGUUUGCAGGACCCUAAAUAAGAGGGGAGGGCUCAGUCUCCAAUGUCCUGGGCCCUGGGCAGCACAGAGCCACUUGGGGAAAGAAUAACUGGCACUUAGAGACGCAACUUGGGGUUUGGAAGGCUCUGCAAGCUGCUUCACUGUAAGCCCACACAGCCUCUGGAGUCCCCAUGUUUCAUGUACUAGGCCUGGAGGCCAGACUGAGGGUGCCGGCUGACUGAGGCAACCAAUGCAAACAAUCAGCUUCUUCUCUGUCUCCCUGCCCUCUCCUGACCAGCUUCACAGGGAUUCAGACCCCCAUCUCAGUUGGCAUCCCCCACUGCCCAUCACCACUGCUUCCCUGCACUGUCACUCCUCCCAUGGGCUCAUCUGCUAGUGCCAGGGAACGUUAGCCCAGCUGACUUCUUCGGGGAUCGGGGAAGGCUGAACGCAAAUCUGUACAACUGUGGGCACCCAGACACCCAUCGACAGAGGGAGCAGGAGAAGACCCCAGUGGUUGCUGCCAGAACUGUGUGAGCUGCUGAGAGAUUCCCCGGUAGAUUGACCCUACUUGCACAUCACUCCUUCAAUGAACAAAUCAAAUGAAUCCUAAAUGCUCAGGUAUCUACCAUCCUGGACUAGUUGAGUCUCCUCAGCCUUGGCCCAUGGACCAACACAGGAAUGCCCAUGUUCUCCACGUGCUCCUGAGAAAUAAUUUCCUGCACCACUGAAGUGGAUGCCCCCACCCUGCCGCACAUCUCAGCCCUGUCCUCCACCCAUUUCCGCUGGUGGCACUACUAGCUCCGGCCUCCUGCUCAGUUUGGGGCUCUAUCUGUCUUCUGUGCUCCAUUACCUUCCCCCAUGGCCUCUAGGGGCUGGGGAGGGGAGAGUUGGAGGGGGGCUGCUUAAGAGAUUUUUGGAAUCAGUGCCUGCGCAUCACCCGCUGCCAUGAGUUAUUUCAGCGCUGAUGUUUGUCUCGAGCUGAUUAUUCCAGCCCGAGAACAGGUGGAGCAGCCUGCGGUGGUUUAUUCGUCAGCCAAGGCCAUCUGUUCCCAACAAGCUGAGAUUUGUAGCUGAUUUCUGCUGGGGAGCAAGGAGUAGGGGUGGGGAGGGAGAGGGAGAUCACACCCACACCCCAGGGGACUUGCUCCUCCCAGACCUGCCAGGAUGCCUCAACCCCUGGGCUUCCCUUUUACUAGGGAUCCCACAUUUUCCAAUUUCUCAGAGAAACUCACUGGUCACUCAAGUCAGCAACAAUACUUCCCUAAGGGGCUACACCUUCUUAGAUGGAACCAUGUAUUAGAAGCACAAAUCUACCAGCCAGGCACAAAGUCUGGCCACUGAGCCAUGUCCCCACCUUGCAGAUCUUAAAAAAAAAAAAAAAAAAAAAGUAUAUCACUAUGACACAAAUGUCCUAAAUGACCUUCUCAACUCUUGGCUCCUCCUCAUCCCAACCCCACUGCCAGUCCCUUUAACAAAAACAGCCUCACCUAAACCGAUCACCUGCAGGGCUCUCAGCUGCAUGGGAGGGCUUGAUCUAGAUGCUCUUGUCUCAUCUGCGCUGCUCGCCUCCCCUAAAUACCCUGUUCAUGUUCCACCCUCCAAUCUGUUCCUCUUCCAGCUUCCCUCUCAGCCAUGCCGAGAGAAGCCUGCUGCUUUAAGAAUGGCUUUCCCUGAGCAAGGGAUCUAAGCAGUUUCUAAGCAGCUUUGCCACACGGUUUACCCCCUCCCGCCCACCCGCCUGCUAUGAUUUCUGUAUAUGAAAUGUUGGGAAAGAAGUGAUUCUUAUAAUCAUGCUAAUAUGACAAUUUGGGGCCUUCUUUGGUGUUGCUACACACAUCUGUACUGACUUUUAAAAAUUGUAUGAAAACUUGGUAUUGAAAGCACAGCCACUUCAUCUAUAACCCCACAUCCCCAGGUAAAACUACUUAUAGUUUUCAGAGGUCCCUUCUAAUAUUUAUUUAUUGAUCUGUGUUUUCCCUUCUACUUUUGUCAUGUCUAUAUGUAACCUUAGGAACCCAUUAACAGAGCUGUAAGACUGCCUCACUUUCUAGUUGGUUCUCUAGGCUUAUUUUGUCGGUUCCUGGGAGCAGAAGCUCCUUUCUACUAUUAAAACCUGCCCAGUGGCUGAGUAUGUUUCCACCAGAAACAGUAGCUCCCACAGAUGUUCUCCGGAACCCACAAAGGCAGGCCAUGAGACCUGUGCUUCCAGGGCAGAACCUUCCAGGGAGUGCACUCACUAGGGUCACUCUUCCUUGGACAGUAGUCCCCCAGCAGUCCUCAAGCAAGGGUGCCAACCUGCAGUUGAUGCCAGGCCCCAGGGUUAAGAUGAGCCAUGAGACCUCUUUCAUCACAUACAAUUUUAUAUUUGCCUGGCUGCCUGUCACUCACCGGUCUUUCAAAGUGCUAAUGUUUCCGAAGCUAUUGGCUAUAUCUUCCCCAUGCAGAGAUUUUUUUAAACUCCUUUUUUUCUUUUUGAGACAGAGUCUCACCCGUCGCCCAGGCUGGAGUGCAAUGGCAUGAUCUCGUCUCACUGCAAACUCCACCUUCAAGGGAUUCUCCUGCCUCAGCCUCCCGAGUAGCUGGGAUUACAUGUUCCCGCCAACACGCCCAGCUAAUUUUUUUUUUUUUUUUUGAGACGGAGUCUUGCUCUGUCGCCCAGGCUGGAGUGCAGUGGCUCGGAUCUCUGCUCACUGCAAGCUCCGCCUCCUGGGUUCAUGCCAUUCUCCUGCCUCAGCCUCCCGAGUAGCUGGGACUACAGGCACCCGCCACCAUGCCCGGCUAAUUUUUUGUAUUUUUUUAGUAGAGAUGGGGUUUCAUCGUGUUAGCCAGGAUGGUCUUGAUCUCCUGACCUCGUGAUCCACCCGCCUCAGCCUCCCAAAGUGCUGGGAUUACAGGCGUGAGCCACCGUGCCCGGCCUAAUUUUUGUAUUUUUAGUAGAGAGGGGGUUUCACCAUCUUGGCCAGGCUGGUCUCGAACUCCUGACUCCAGGUGAUCCACCCACCUCAGCCUUAACUCCUUUUUUUUUUAAAUUUCCAUUUUCAAAUUCCCUAGUGUCCUCUCUUUCCCAAAUCCAUUUGCUGCUUUUCCUAAUCUAGUCAGAUCAUAGAUGUGGCACAAAACAUAUAAAAAUUUCUUAAAAUGUGGAAACUCUUUGACUCUUAAGCCACUUCAAAUAUAAUUUGGCUGGAUAGUGUCAAAACGUAAUAUCCUUUUUGAAUUUUCUUUUCUUCUAAAACUGUCAUAGCUGACUUUUGAUAUCUACAGCAAAUUCUAUCUGCACAUAUAAGUAUUCCACUGGGGGAUUUAUGUGACUGACUUCAGUCGCAAAGCACACACUCUUUUUGGAAUCUCCCUUAUGUUUAUGACCCAUCUCUGGGGCUCACGCUACAGAAGACUCAAUUUCUCUGUACAAUUCCUUCUAAACACAUCCAGUAUCCUUGUUAACUCCAAAAUGGCUACUGCUCUGGAAAUCUUUCCUCCCAGAUCAAAUAGCAGGGAAUGGUCUGGAUUGUUGUUGUACUGUAAUGAAAUUAGACUGAAGUGAAUAUAGCUUAAAAUAUGCAUUCUGAGCGAUGUGGAACUGUUAUUCAUAUUGCUGGCACAGUGGGAGUGAAGUGAAAAUGUGAUAAUAUAUGGGGGAUGCUCUGAAAAUUGUGAAGCGCGACGCAAAUGUGAAGUAGAUAUUUUCCCCCCAAAUUGCCAAGAAGCGUUUCCUUUCUGAGGCCAGGACUUGGCGAAUGCCAGGCACACGCGAUUUGAGAUGAGGACCAUGGUAGUGAUUCUUUGCUUUCUUGCCUCUCACUGCAUCCUCUGCCAAGGCCAGAAUAGUUAGGAGACGCCUGGCCAGCUGCUGGAAGCAAGUUGAGGACUCUGCUUAGAAAGAUGACAUCACCCCUCAGCCUCAGUUUUCUUUCCAGGAUGACGUCUUCACAGAGUUGUGAUGGAGGUGAAAUGAGAUUUUGUAGGGCAAAGUGCUUAAGCGCUGGGGUCAUCAUAGUAAGUGCUCAACAAAUGGGAACUGUUGUUGGUCCUUUUUUUUUUUUUUUGAGAUGAAGUCUCUCUCUUGUCCCCUAGGCCAGAGUGCAAUGACACGAUCUUGGCUCACUGCAACCUCUGCCUCCCGGGUUCAAGCGAUUCUCCUGCCUCAGCCCCCCAAGUAGCUG
rnacentral:lncRNA from 1 species